GGGGAAUUUUGGACAAUGGGCGAAAGCCUGAUCCAGCCAUGCCGCGUGCAGGAUGAAGGCCUUCGGGUUGUAAACUGCUUUUGUACGGAACGAAAAGACUCCUUCUAAUAAAGGGGGUCCAUGACGGUACCGUAAGAAUAAGCACCGGCUAACUACGUGCCAGCAGCCGCGGUAAUACGUAGGGUGCAAGCGUUAAUCGGAAUUACUGGGCGUAAAGCGUGCGCAGGCGGUUAUAUAAGACAGAUGUGAAAUCCCCGGGCUCAACCUGGGAACUGCAUUUGUGACUGUAUAGCUAGAGUACGGCAGAGGGGGAUGGAAUUCCGCGUGUAGCAGUGAAAUGCGUAGAUAUGCGGAGGAACACCGAUGGCGAAGGCAAUCCCCUGGGCCUGUACUGACGCUCAUGCACGAAAGCGUGGGGAGCAAACAGGAUUAGAUACCCUGGUAGUCCACGCCCUAAACGAUGUCAACUGGUUGUUGGGAAUUCACUUUCUCAGUAACGAAGCUAACGCGUGAAGUUGACCGCCUGGGGAGUACGGCCGCAAGGUUG
rnacentral:rRNA from 1 species